rnacentral:rRNA from 1 species
CUGCCCAAUGAUUAAUUUUAAAUGGCCGCAGUAUCUUAACUGUGCAAAGGUAGCAUAAUCAUUUGCCUUCUAAUUAAAGGCUUGUAUGAAUGAAUUAACGAAAAUUUAACUGUCUCAUUUAAAUCUUUAAAAAUUAAUCUAAAAGUGAAAAAGCUUUUGUUUUAUUAAUGGACAAGAAGACCCUAUUGAGCUUUAUUUUUAAUUAUUUAUUUUUUUUAAAUUUAAAUAAAAUAUUAAAUAAAAUAAAAAUUAGUUGGGGCGACUAAAGAAUAAUAAUAUCUUCUUUUUAUUUAAAGGAUGAUAAUCCAUUAAAAUGAUCUAAUAUAUUAAUUCACAAAAAAAGCUACCAUAGGGAUAACAGUCUAAUCUUUCUUUAAAGUUCAAAUUAACAGAAAGGAUUGGCACCUCGAUGUUGGCUUAAGAUUUCUUUUUUAUGCAGCAGUAAAAAUAGUA